CCUUCGGAAGAGCCCAGGGCUUGGGCAUGAAAGAGGAAAGCCCGCCUGCUGCCGGCGACACUGAGAGCUGAGGCAGGAGGCAGCCUUCCCUGCCUGCCAGUAGAGAAACUUCCAAAACCUUCUUUGUGGAAAGCCUGCUGAUGAGUAUUGAUCAGAAGACUUGAACAUUCUCCUUUCCCUUUUUCGUUUUCUGUGUCCCCUCUUCAAAAAUGAGCAUUAUUAUGAAGCCGAGAUCCAGGUCCACAAGUUCCCUGAGGACAACGGAGGCAGUUUGGUUUUUAUCUGUCUUAAGCAAGCAUCCAGUGCUUCAGAUGGCUUCCUCGUGCUCUUUUCCUAUCUGCUGCCCUCCAUAUGUAUUGUAACAGGGCUACAGUCUUAAUCGGACUCUCAGCACAGUCAUAAGUGAUUACAUAACAAAUUUACAAUACUUCACAUUCUCCUUAUGCCACUGACACGAUCUUAACUCUAAUCAAAACUUCAUAAAUUAAGAAAAAAAUUAUCUCAUUUAUGUUCUUGUACUAUAUGUCACAGAUCUUAAGUUUAAGGUGUACAGAUCGCUUAUACAGUGACUGUUUUGGCACAAAUUCUCACACAUUCUUUUAACACUUACAGCAUGAGUUGAGAAAACAUCCAUAUAUACUUCAUAGUGCUUAUAAGUUUAGUACAAAUAGCUGACUGCUGAGAAUUUGUCUACAUUUCUAUUUUUGUCGCUUCAGUAUCGAUAUUUAGUCUUCAAAUUCUAUGUAGUAAAACAGGUCACUUCCUGUUUUUAAGAUUAAAUUAUUUUACCCGCAUUG
rnacentral:lncRNA from 1 species